GAGCAUCUUGCCAGAUUAUGACCCUUCAAUUCUCAUGGCAUUGACUGAAAAAUGUCAUGAGAUCUUGGUCAUCCAGAUUUUCCCAGUUUGAGAAGGAGUAAUCACUUUCCACGGUUUUUGGCAUACUGAAAGCCCAUAAUAAUGGCACUAAGGGACACAUAUGAGCUAUUUUCAGGUGAAUUUCGAGGAGCAAUGGUAAGGAUUGAAGAAGUGGUUUCCUGAUCAUGGCAGCAAGACUUCUCUGAAGACUCCAUUAUUUCCUCCCUUGGGAGGGGCAGAUACUACCUGGUUGAUCAGAGACAAGUUUGACCAUUAAACUAUUUCCCUGGCAUGAAGAAUCUGACCAUUCUGGGACAAGAUGACCCACUAUCAAAGCAGUAGGAGAAACACUGAGGUCAAUAAGCCAGCAUCCCUCUUUUGAUUAAAGCCUAGACAAACCUACUAAAGGUAGAAGCAAGUAUUAUUCUGAAAGGGCUGUGGGCCAUCUGAUGACAGAAAAGGUUAAGCCACAGUGUCCACGUUGGUUCCUGCCAUCCCACAGUUGUGUCACCGCUAUGAAAUGCCAUCAUUUUAGACUUGGUGAGAUCUUGAAAAGCAGCUGCAGUCUUCCAUCCCUUCCAAGCACCCUCACAGAAGAGAAGAGAGAGUGCCCAAGCAUCGUCAUGAAUGGGCUGCAUUAAGGUAGAGACUAUGGAAGUAGUUACAGUAAUAAGAGCAGCAGCAGAAAGGUCACAAGGGAAAGAGGAGCCAGCACAGAGAGAACCCAGCAGAAGGUUGCAUUUGGAUGUUUGACUGGCCAAUGACAUGUAAAAUGCCUAAUUAGCAGUUUUUCAAGCACUAUUUAUAUUCCAAGGCUUAAGUUUUGACCUCCCAACUGAUUAUACUAGUAGGAAUGUUAUAUGAAUUGGAUUCUAAUCACCUGUCAUAUGUGCUGAGACCUCAUUUCUGUGUGGAAAUAAAAGGACUUCUUCUAUACCUA
rnacentral:lncRNA from 1 species